AACGAACGCUGGCGGCAGGCUUAACACAUGCAAGUCGAACGCAUCCUUCGGGGUGAGUGGCAGACGGGUGAGUAACGCGUGGGAACGUGCCCUUCAGUUCGGGAUAACCCAGGGAAACUUGGGCUAAUACCGGAUACGUGCGAGAGCAGAAAGAUUUAUCGCUGAAGGAUCGGCCCGCGUCUGAUUAGCUAGUUGGUGGGGUAAUGGCCCACCAAGGCGACGAUCAGUAGCUGGUCUGAGAGGAUGAUCAGCCACAUUGGGACUGAGACACGGCGCAAACGCCUACGGGAGGCAGCAGUGGGGAAUAUUGGACAAUGGGCGCAAGCCUGAUCCGGCCAUGCCGCGUGGGUGAUGAAGGCCUUAGGGUUGUAAAGCUCUUUCGUCCGGGACGAUAAUGACGGUACCGGAAGAAGAAGCCCCGGCUAACUUCGUGCCAGCAGCCGCCGUAA
rnacentral:rRNA from 1 species